CUAAACAGAACACAAAAUCAAAAGCAUCUGAAUCAAGGAUUCCAAACCAUGAAGUCUGAGUACUCAAAAUGACACAAGAUCAAGUUCACUCAUCCCAGUUCCUUAGGGAUCGCAGCAUACAUAUGGGAAGUCACUGUGAAUCUCUUGCUGCUUUAAAUUAUUCCAGCCUGGGCCUCAGAACACCUACACGCUGACCUCUUGGGCCUAAAGUCAGUGGAGCCUGAAAGCUGGAAGUCCUUGACUGGUGGCAGCAGAGAGAAAAUCAUCACCUGCUCAGUCACAAACACGCGGCACCUGCAUCACUGUUUGUUAAAUAAGAUCAGCUAAUAGUUGCACAGCGGCUCUUCAAAGCUUCAUGAAAGAAUUAAUGAAGGUUUUAUAGAUGCCGUUUCUCCACAGCAGCCUUGGACUUCGGCUCUGGAAUUUAAUGUUAUUCACCUCAGUACGUGAUUCAGAAAACAACCAUCUGAAGUUAGCAUUGUAAAUUGCACAACCCAGGGAAAAGCAUGUAAGAACAGGAGAUAAGAUAUUCUUGAUCAAGGAGAUCUGGCUGUGGAACCAACUUCCAGAAGAGACGAGACCAAGGCCUUGUCUACCUUACACAGUUUUGUUAGCAAACGGCAGCAUUUGCCGACAAAACAGUGGAGGUGCACACAUUACAAAGCUACUUUGGGCGGCAAAACUCUGCUGUUUUCCUGACAAAAUA